rnacentral:tRNA from 1 species
GCGGAAGUGGUGGAACUGGUAGACACACCAUCUUGAGGGGGUGGCGGAGCAAUCCAUGCGGGUUCAAGUCCCGCCUUCCGCA